rnacentral:lncRNA from 1 species
UUAAUGUUGCCUAACACUUCCUAUCAGAAGGUGCUUUUAGUAGAGAUUCUUUGUUGACCCUAAGACUUCUGAGUUCCCAGCCUUUUCCUUAUUUCUUGCUUUCCACCCCCCAAGAGUAAAAUUUCAGGCAAAUGAAUCCAUUUGUUCCAAAAUUUCAUUCAAGAAUUUCAAGAUUGGAUCAAGAUUGAAUCAUUUCAAGAUUGCAUUAAAGUAAAACUCAUUGUUUGCUUUUUGUUCAAGUGACUGAUUCAGCUGCUGACCGAGAGGGUGAUCUUUCAAGAAACCACUGGACGUAGGAAACAAAAGCAGAACUAUCAAACUCUUUCUCUGCUGACACCCAGGCAGUCUGGCAGCGAAGGUGGAAACUGCUGUACUGGAGCCCAGACAAGUCAGGGGGGCAGACAGAGACAGUCCCUGGGAUGCGAUCCAGAGCCUAACCGAAGUAAGGGGUACGCUUGUGUGGACUUCAGCUCCAACCGAGUCAGACUCAAGGUAUUGCAAAACUGAGCCUUCGGCAAGCAUUUUGUAGUGGCUUGGAAAUGGGAGAAGGAUUAAAAGUGAUUUGCUGUUAUCUUUCCUCAGACAGAGCAUUUUUCUUUACUUGACAAAAAGUGACUUUAACGGGACUUUUGAUAAAACAAGGUAUUAACGUCAGGAUUGUAACAAAAUCUCGUAAAUUAAUACAAACAAAGGUUGGUGGUAUUUCUUUAUACAGUUAUAAGCAAGACAUCGUUCUGUGAAAGGAUGUGGAGCUGCUUUAGUCGUAUCACUUCUUAUUGUGAGUAGUCUCACAAACACCAUGCAUAGGGCUGGUGAGGGAAUGGCUGUGUGGUUCAAGAAGGUCUGAAUGGCAUCACUCGUGUCCAGCUAACUCUUCACAGUUUGCUUUUGUUUAAC